rfam:Oryza sativa Japonica Group DNA, chromosome 8, cultivar: Nipponbare, complete sequence.
UUUAAGUGCAACUAUGAGUUUUUGCGCCCAAUUUUAAUCGUCCGUCUUGUUUGAAUUUUUUUUAUAAUUAGUAUUUUUGUUGUUAUAAGAUGAUAAAACAUGAAUAGUACUUUACUCGUGACUUAUGUUUUUAAUUUUUUUUCAAAAAAUUUUCGAAUAAAACAGACGAUCAAAGUUGGACGCGAAAAACCAUGAUUGCACUUAAA